ACUACUAGUCCAUUUUUUCAGAUGAGGAAACAGAGACUCAGAGAGAUUAAGUGACUGUCCAAGGCCAUACACCUAUUGAAUGGGGCAGCUAGGAUUCUCAUGCAGGCUCAUGGACCCUGAAACUCUUUCUGCUCUGCCAUUUGAUGUCUUUCUUUUUUUUUUUUUUUUAACCUUCCAUACUUUCUUUUCUUAUUCUUUCGUUUCACCCUUACCUAAUUUUUUAAUGUUUACCCAGCUUGCAGAUAUUUUAUAUAUUUGUCAUAUUUAGUACUUCAUAAUAAACAAGGAAGGGUUGAGAAGGAAGGUGGAGAUGAAGGGUCACAUUUCCUGGUUUGCCUAACAAUGGCCCUAUAUUUCUCUCUGCUGUCACAUUCUACCAGAAUUAGAUCUUCUUCAUCUGAUAGUCUAAGUGAUACGUGUACAAAAUAUAAUGUUAACUGAAAACCCCAGAACCUACUUCCAAUACUAUUCUUUGGUACUGAAUUGAAGAAGACAAGCAAACACUCCCCGCAUUUUCCUUUCUUUUCAGAAGGCAAUUAUCUUACACUUAAUGGUUUAAAUGUUAUUAGGGUUACAAGAGGCCCAGAAAAAGACAUUCAGAGUAGCAAUCAAUCACUUUAAUACAGCUUCAGCUUAUAAAACUGGACAGAAUUACUUUUUUUUUCUUAUGCUCUGGUGAAGCAAGUUUUUAUUCUGUUUAAGCAAAACAUCACUCUAACACAUUUUCAGAGUUACAGCUGCUGAUAAUAAAAUGCUAGAGUGGAAGUCAAAAUAGAUAUCUGGGAAUGCAAAACAUAGGUUUUUCUACAGCAAGGCAAAUUUCCCAUUAUUCCCACAUGGGAACUCAGGAGCAAAAUUGCCACAUGCCUCUUGUAUCAUAUGCAUUUAUAGUUCUGCACUUUCUAACUUACUCAAGUAUAGGGGCCCUUCAACUUAUGUCACCUGAAGAAAUCUGCAUUUAAUGUUCUUUCUCUUACUGAGUUUUGUUUUUAAAGAAAAUACUUAUUGGAAAAGCAGUUACAUUUUGUUCAUUCUUCAGUGUCUAUAAUGAAAAAGACAAGGUUGGCCAGGUGUGGUGAUGCAUGCCUGCAGUCCCAGCAACUCGGGAGGCUGAAGUGAGAGGUUCACUUGAGCUCAGGAGUUCAAGGCUGCAGUGAGCCAUGAUUGCAUCACUGCAAUCCAGCCUAGGUGACAGAGCAAGACCCCGUCUCAAAAGACAAGGUCAAGCUUUCAAAUGGACAUAAUAUAAGAAUUCUCAUUGUUAUAUAUAAAGCAUUACAUAUGGGGCCAUGUGCGGUGGCUCAAGCCUGUCAUCCCAGCACCUUGGGGGGC
rnacentral:lncRNA from 1 species